rnacentral:rRNA from 1 species
UACAGAGGGUGCGAGCGUUAAUCGGAAUUACUGGGCGUAAAGCGUGCGCAGGCGGUUCGUUGUGUCGGCGGUGAAAGCCCCGGGCUCAACCUGGGAAUGGCCGUUGAAACUGGCGAACUGGAGUGUGGCAGAGGGGGGUGGAAUUCCGCGUGUAGCAGUGAAAUGCGUAGAGAUGCGGAGGAACACCGAUGGCGAAGGCAGCCCCCUGGGUCGACACUGACGCUCAGGCACGAAAGCGUGGGGAGCAAACAGG